rnacentral:rRNA from 1 species
UACGUAGGAUGCAAGCGUUGUUCGGAAUUACUGGGCGUAAAGAGUACGUAGGCGGUUUGAUAAGUCUGAUAUUAAAUACAGAAGCUUAACUUCUGAACUGUAUCGGAAACUGUCAGACUAGAGGACAAUAGAGGAAGUGGGAAUUCUCAGUGUAGCGGUGAAAUGCGUAGAUAUUGGGAAGAACACCAGUGGCGAAAGCGCACUUCUGGGUUGUUACUGACGCUGAGGUGCGAAAGCGUGGGGAGCAAACGGG